GCUGAAGCCUGGUGCUUGCACCGGGUGGAUGAGUGGCGAACGGGUGAGUAACACGUGAGUAACCUGCCCCUGACUUCGGGAUAAGCCCGGGAAACUGGGUCUAAUACCGGAUACGACCGUCGGACGCAUGUCUGGUGGUGGAAAGUUUUUUCGGUUGGGGAUGGGCUCGCGGCCUAUCAGUUUGUUGGUGAGGUAAUGGCUCACCAAGACGACGACGGGUAGCCGGCCUGAGAGGGCGACCGGCCACACUGGGACUGAGACACGGCCCAGACUCCUACGGGAGGCAGCAGUGGGGAAUAUUGCACAAUGGGGGAAACCCUGAUGCAGCGACGCAGCGUGCGGGAUGACGGCCUUCGGGUUGUAAACCGCUUUCAGCAGGGAAGAAGCGCAAGUGACGGUACCUGCAGAAGAAGUACCGGCUAACUACGUGCCAGCAGCCGCGGUAAUACGUAGGGUACGAGCGUUGUCCGGAAUUAUUGGGCGUAAAGAGCUCGUAGGUGGUUGGUCACGUCUGCUGUGGAAACGCAACGCUUAACGUUGCGCGUGCAGUGGGUACGGGCUGACUAGAGUGCAGUAGGGGAGUCUGGAAUUCCUGGUGUAGCGGUGAAAUGCGCAGAUAUCAGGAGGAACACCGGUGGCGAAGGCGGGACUCUGGGCUGUAACUGACACUGAGGAGCGAAAGCAUGGGGAGCGAACAGGAUUAGAUACCCUGGUAGUCCAUGCCGUAAACGUUGGGCACUAGGUGUGGGGGGCAUUCCACGUUCUCCGCGCCGUAGCUAACGCAUUAAGUGCCCCGCCUGGGGAGUACGGUCGCAAGGCUAAAACUCAAAGGAAUUGACGGGGGCCCGCACAAGCGGCGGAGCAUGCGGAUUAAUUCGAUGCAACGCGAAGAACCUUACCAAGGCUUGACAUACACCAGACCGUCCUGGAAACAGGUCCUCUUCUUUGAAGCUGGUGUACAGGUGGUGCAUGGUUGUCGUCAGCUCGUGUCGUGAGAUGUUGGGUUAAGUCCCGCAACGAGCGCAACCCUCGUUCUAUGUUGCCAGCACGUGAUGGUGGGAACUCAUAGGAGACUGCCGGGGUCAACUCGGAGGAAAGGUGGGGAUGACGUCAAAUCAUCAUGCCCUUUAUGUCUUGGGCUUCACG
rnacentral:rRNA from 1 species